rnacentral:rRNA from 1 species
AUUGAACGCUGGCGGCAUGCCUUACACAUGCAAGUCGAACGGUAACAGGUUAAGCUGACGAGUGGCGAACGGGUGAGUAAUACAUCGGAACGUGCCUCGUAGUGGGGGAUAACUACUCGAAAGAGUGGCUAAUACCGCAUGAGAUCUACGGAUGAAAGCAGGGGAUCGCAAGACCUUGUGCUACUAGAGCGGCCGAUGGCAGAUUAGGUAGUUGGUGGGAUAAAAGCUUACCAAGCCGACGAUCUGUAGCUGGUCUGAGAGGACGAUCAGCCACACUGGGACUGAGACACGGCCCAGACUCCUACGGGAGGCAGCAGUGGGGAAUUUUGGACAAUGGGCGCAAGCCUGAUCCAGCAAUGCCGCGUGCAGGAUGAAGGCCUUCGGGUUGUAAACUGCUUUUGUACGGAACGAAAAGCCCUGGGUUAAUACCCUGGGGUCAUGACGGUACCGUAAGAAUAAGCACCGGCUAACUACGUGCCAGCAGCCGCCGUAACAC